UACGGGGGGAGCAAGCGUUGUUCGGAUUUACUGGGCGUAAAGGGCGCGUAGGCGGCCACCGCAAGUCGACUGUGAAAUCUCCGGGCUUAACCCGGAAAGGUCAGCCGAAACUGCGGGGCUAGAGUGCAGAAGGGGCAACUGGAAUUCUCGGUGUAGCGGUGAAAUGCGUAGAUAUCGAGAGGAACACCUGCGGCGAAGGCGGGUUGCUGGGCUGACACUGACGCUGAUGCGCGAAAGCUAGGGGAGCGAACGGG
rnacentral:rRNA from 1 species